CUCAAGCGCUGCCACGGUCUUAUAUGGACGGGAGGAGGCUGCUCUUCUGAUGCAGUGAGUCAGCUCAGAGUCCAGCGGUUAACACCAUUGCACACAGCGCUCCUUUGCUUAGGGGAAGAAUCCCAGCACAGAAAUGACUUAUAAGUGCAGCAAUUACUCAGGCCAUGUCUACACUUACUGGGGAUCGAUGCUGCUGUGAUCGAUGCAGUGGGGGUCGAUUUAGUGGGUGAAGAGCGCUCUCCAGUCAACUCCAGUACUCCACCGGAACAAGAGGGGUAAGGUAAGUCGACAGGAGAGUAUCUCCCCAUUGACGCAGCACGGUGUGGAUACCACGAUAAAUAUCACCAUCCUUCACUAGAUCAAGGAUGCCACAAACAGAACAGAGGACUUCUGGAUGCAGCAAGGAUCUCGCUCGGAGAGAAGGAACUCUUCAUGUGGAGCAAGGACCAUGGGCAGACCGGAGAUGGUGGGAAAAGUUUUACAUCAGCCAGGAAAUUUUCUCUUUUCAGCAAUUUCACAUAAACAUGAAGAAAAAAAAUCCCCCUUUGUCUGCAGAAGUUUUAUUAGUGAUUUUUAUAUCAAGCAACAACUGAUUCUUGCUUUCACAAGGAAGUACAAACUUUUACAAAAAAUAUGCACAAAGUUUUCUAUUGCUGUAACAUUUCUAAGGAAAUUCUACACGUAUAUCAGAAAUGGAUAUUUCACAGGACAAAAAAAAAGACACGUCCAAUUUGGAUCCCUCAGGUGGAGAUCGAUGAGACAGCAUGUCCCACAGAGCAAAGGAGGACUCAGUUAUCCACUUACAUUAUUCCCUGAUAUCCCCAGGAGCAAAAGGUAGAGAGUGACUUGCAGACCAGAACCACAUUUAAAAGCCUGUCCGGCAUAACCCUCUGGAAUCUUUCUGAGACAAAGCAGCAAACCCACCACAGAGCCACUCUUCCUCAAGAAGCUACAGGGUGCCCAGCUUGAUAUCCUGAGGUCUGAUCUGCAGAUGUGCUGAGCAUUCAGAGCUACAACUGAAGUCAGUGGGAGCUGUGCUUUGAACAUAUAAAGCAGGAAUAAGAACACAGGGAUUGCCAUACUGGAUCAGACCAGUGGACCAUCAUUUAGCUUCUUGUCUAGCAGUGGCCACUACUAACUACAUCAAAGGAAAGUGCAAGAGACCCUGCAGAAGUCACUUAUGGAAUAACCUACUCACAAGGAAAGUGUCUUCCUAUCCUUCAUACUCAUGGCUCCAGCGUGGAGGGACAAUUCACAAAGGACUAUACAUGGUAUGUUCAGUAUAUAUCUAGGACAGCUCCCAUGACCGUGUAAGAGUAAUACUGCGCCCCCCAACCCCCAUUUAUAGAUUAUGUCAUCUUUCCCCCAAGAUAGGCUGGCUAUAGGCUUCUGAGGCUUGCACACCAAAUAGUGUGGCACAUUCUGGGCUCAGGAUUUGUUUUUAAAUUAAACAUUAAACAAGAGAUGAUCCUUGUUUCUAAGAAAUCCAUUCCAGCAAGACCUGGAGCCCAGACCUCUGAACUGAAAAGAAGUAAGGCUACCUACUGAGUUAAUAGAAACUCUGGUUUUCUCCCAUUGGUACAGUAAUCUGGUUGUAGUCUAUAAGCAACAAUUUGAUAUCCAAAAGAUGUGUAUGUCUUCCACAGACUCCAUUUUUCUUGGAACCUUCCUAUCUGAAUGCUGACCUGGCUCAGUCAUGCUCAGGAAUCAGACACGGCUGGAUCAACACAACCAUGCUCUCCUAAGAAUUCUGUAUUACAAAUGUGCUGAAUGAUCGUCAAGAAGAGUUUCUUUUUCUCAUCCCUCUCCACAGCAUAGAGAUCCUGACCAUUAUACUUUGGAAUGUGUUUCUGGAGUCAAAAACAAAAACAUGCUGUGUAUUCUCAAGGUUUUAAAGUACCAUCUCAGCCUCCCUGAUAGUUAAAGAUACCAAAACCAAGGGUGGAUUUGAUUUUAUAAAACCUUGUUGACCAUGUCUCAGGUUUUCAAGAACCAAACCCAAAGCUAGGAGUGAAGCCAUGUUCCAUUUUAUUUAAACACAAAUAAGAUUUUUAUUUGUUUUUAGCGAGUGUAAGAGUCAGAUGAGGUAGGAUUUCAUUCUGGUUUCUGGCCCAUGUCUUCUCCUGCUGUUAUAACGAGCACUGUGCUGUAAAUAAGUUGAAUAUGCCAGCUCAUUCAUCAAAAAAGAAAAAACCUCUGUCCAGUUCAGAUGAAGACAGGAGCUGUUUUCUGAUAAUCAACCUUCUUUCUAUAUCUUCUCACACAGUGGGAAGCUUGUUCUGGAGAGUUAUUCAUUUCAUAAUAGGACUUGUGCUUCAUAAAGGCUAUAGAUUUGUCUCCUUUUCCCCUAAUCAGAUAUUGUUCCUUUCCAGUGAAUAUCUUAACUCUACCUUUUGAAUCAGCUCCCUGUGAUAAAUCCCAAAGGCAGAGCAGAUCUGCACGAAACCCUUUUCUUCACUAUACUUGCUACAAUUUGGAAAUGCUCUGACUGACAUGGGGAGAAAUGCCAAGCGAAGCAAGAGAUUUGAAACAGGGGGUUUCAAAGUAAAUGGCUUUAAAAUAAGUUACUGUUCCUCUAACAAUGAAGAGAAUGGACCUUCCUCAGAGUCCCAGGCAUGGUAAACUGAUCUCUGUAGGAUAUUUAAAUCCUGACCCUACUCCAAACUUCUAUACUGAAUUCCCAGUCUAACAGUCUGGGGUUCACAUUUGUUCUUAUUAACUGUAUUCACACUGCAGUACUAGAAAACCAGACCCUAUACAGUUUGCAGACAUUUAGAACACAGUCUGAUUUAGGCUUCAUCCGUACUGAGGUAUAGUCUUAUCUUCAAGGUAGCAGCUACCUUGUUGUUUUUCAUAUGCACUCACUACCAUGAGUCUACACAUGUUGUUAGAUCCAUCUAAGUAGAUGGUGAAGCUGGGUGUGUGGUGGAGGAUGGAUCUCCAGAGCAAAGCCCUGUACUAGGAAAGAAUUUAAAUAUAAUUGUAGGGACUAAAAUGAAAGGGAAUUCAUUGGGAAUGUUUUCUUCCCAUCAUAGUUCUUCAGGAGGCCUAUGGACAGAAUAUUAACCAUGAGCAUUUCCAUGGAAUAAUGGCUAAUUCGAUUGUGCUUAUGAAGUGGGAGUGAAAUGCGGGUGCUUCCAUUUAUUUCAGUAGGCUUUGAAUCAGGUCUUUUGACCAUUUCUCUUUCAGACUGUUUUGGAGUGGUUGCUACCCUUCUCACACCCACAUGGGGCCUGAUUCUCAUUUAUACUAAACCCCUUUUACCCCUCUGUGGCAGGGUAAAAUGACCUUAAAGUGAAAAUAAAUUAUGUUUACACCCACUUUAAGGCUACUUUAUACUUCCAGCACUGUGUAAAGGGAUUUUAGUUUAGAUAGGAAUCAGAAGGAUGUAUAGGACAUAAAUGAGGAGUUAAGUUAAAAAUAAUCAGAAAAAAAUAGUUUGUUAAUUAUGUUCCUGAAAUUAUGACCUCUUUUACAUUUCUCAUAGUUUUGUGUUGUUUCUAGAUUUCUAUCUUAUCUCCUAUUAUGAGAACCAUUCUAUAUUACUAAAGUAAAGAUACAGAUCGUAAACAGCAGGCACCAAAUAGUUAAGAGGUAUAAGACCAAAUUCAUCCUCUUUGUAAUUCCACUUAUGUAAUGGUGUUCCACCCAGGAUGAAUUUGCCUCACUGUUUUUCCCAGCCUGUAUUUGACACACUAUAAAUCUCAUGUGCUCUCUGUGUUAAAUAGCAAGAGUCUCUCCCUUUACUUAGUGUCCUGUCAGUGAGGUCAGGGGUCUGUGACACAAGCCACUGAUGAUCAGCAGGGGUAUGAUGUCAUAACUAGGACUGUGGGCACCAUUGAAUGGGUGCUCAGACCUUCUAAUAUGAUCUAAAUUUUCAAAAGUGGCUAAUGAUUUUGGAUGCCUCUACUGUUGGGGUUACAAACCAAGACCCUUUAAAGAGCCCGAUUUUUCUGUGGGUGAGUAUUCAGCCCUUUCUGAGGCUCGGGCUUUGGUGAUGUCUCAUAUUGGGGACCCAACAUCACUAGCCCCUUCUAAAAAUGUAAGCUGUACAUGUCCAUGAACUAUUUCUCUGCACACUAUCUCACCACUCUCCUGGAUUUCCCACUAUGUGGACAAAAAUAACAAUACAAUUUAGAAGUAUAGUUUUUUCCUUUAAUCAGAUGUAAUUUUGUCAGUUUUAAUCUGGAUGUAUUUAUUACCUUGGUAUUGCUUGAAGUUAUGGAUUGAAUAAGAAGUGACACGUACACAUACACUGUAAGAAUCCAAAAGUACUUAACAUUGUCAUUUUCUAGAUUAUAGGCAUUUCAUUGUGUGUCAUCUGGAUAUAUUGAGGGUACAUUUUAUUUAAAAAUUUUAUUAACUUAAAAAAAAUUCACACCUCAGUUAAAAAUGCAGACCUUGCCAGCAUGUUUUUAAGUGUGUGUGUGUUGGAUGGAGAGGGGGGAUGGAAAAGGAAGUAGUAGUUCCUCCCCAAAUUAUAUCUACCUCUUCUUCCCCUUUGAUUGUGUGAGCGUUAGCUUCUCAAAUCCAGCAUUUCAGUUCCCCUGAUAUGAGAUGGAGCAGAAUAAAAAGCUCCCACCUAGUGCAUCACAGGGUCUGUGGCCAGAAGCAUCCAAACCCUGUGCAUGCCAGAUUUAAUCUAAUUACUGAAGAGUUGCAGAGGAUUUAGUAAAGAGCAGCAAGAAUUAUUCUAAGACUGUAGGACACAUCUUACAGUGGCAACUUGAUCAUGGCCUCUAAGUACCUACACAGGAAGAAGGUAUCUGGUACUAACCAGAGGACUCUUCAAUCUAGUUGUCAAAAGCAUAACAACAUAAAAUUGCUGAAACCUGAAGUUAGGAAAAUUCAUACUGGAAAUAAGGCAUAAAUUGUUAAAUGAGGGUCAUUACACAUUGGAACACCUUAGCAGGGGAGUAGUACAUUCUCGCUCACUCUAAGUCUUUAAAACAAGGCUUUCUAAAAUGUUUACUCAAGUUCAGUUGCAAAUUAUUGGGCUCAGUGCAGGAAUUAUGAGGUGAAUUAUUAGGUCUCUGCAGACCUUAUAGUCUGUCAAUCAAAGACAUCAAUCUCUGAUCCCAUUCAUGCCCCCCCCAUCCCAGAUUCCAAA